GCACUGUGAGGCAUCUUACAGCCACCUUCAUUUAGGAUGCUGUUUCUGAGGACCAUGACCCUUCUGUGAACUCCUGCCAUGAACACUGACGUUGACAUUGCUUAUCACUGAAGGAGUCCUAGAGAUAAUCAACUAUCAACUCAAUUGUGUAGAUGCCAUCAGAGGCUCAAAGAGCUCAACUGAGUUAUCCAAAGUCACACAUGAAGUUAGGCCACCUGUCUUUUUGGAAAAGGGAGAUGUCCUCAUAAAAUGAGAUUAAGAUGAUGUCGACACUGAAAGAGAACAGAAGGCAUGAUGGCAGAUUCUCUCUGGAUCUGAGUUCCCUUACUCCAAUGCCAGAAGAGAGGAGAAAAGAGGAUUUUUUUUAGGAUGCUCCACAUGGACUUACUAUUCAAACAUUAUGAAUUAGUUAAGAACAC
rnacentral:lncRNA from 1 species